UACAGAGGUCUCAAGCGUUGUUCGGAUUCAUUGGGCGUAAAGGGUGUGUAGGUGGCGCCGUAAGUCGGGUGUGAAAUCUUGGAGCUUAACUCCGAAACUGCAUUCGAUACUGCCGUGCUUGAGGACUGGAGAGGAGACUGGAAUUUACGGUGUAGCGGUGAAAUGCGUAGAUAUCGUAAGGAAGACCAGUGGCGAAGGCGACUCUUUGGCCUGUAACUGACGCUGAGGCGCGAAAGCGUGGGGAGCAAACAGG
rnacentral:rRNA from 1 species